rnacentral:rRNA from 1 species
AAUAGAUACCCUGGUAGUCCACGCUGUAAACGUUGGGCGCUAGGUGUGGGGGGCCUCUCCGGUUCCCUGUGCCGCAGCUAACGCAUUAAGCGCCCCGCCUGGGGAGUACGGCCGCAAGGCUAAAACUCAAAAGGAAUUGACGGGGGCCCGCACAAGCGGCGGAGCAUGCGGAUUAAUUCGAUGCAACGCGAAGAACCUUACCUGGGUUUGACAUCGCCGGAAAUCCUGCAGAGAUGUGGGGUCCUUCGGGCCGGUGACAGGUGGUGCAUGGCUGUCGUCAGCUCGUGUCGUGAGAUGUUGGGUUAAGUCCCGCAACGAGCGCAACCCUCGUUCGAUGUUGCCAGCGCGUUAUGGCGGGGACUCAUCGAAGACUGCCGGGGUCAACUCGGAGGAGGGUGGGGAUGGACGUCAAGUCAUCAUGCCCCUUAUGUCCAGGGCUUCACGCAUGCUACAAUGGCCGGUACAAUGGGCUGCGAUACCGUGAGGUGGAGCGAAUCCCAAAAAGCCGGUCUCAGUUCGGAUCGGGGU